rnacentral:rRNA from 1 species
AGUGAACGCUGGCGGCGUGCUUAACACAUGCAAGUCGAACGAGAAACGGGUCUAGCUUGCUAGAUUGCAGUCUAAGUGGCGGACGGGUGAGUAAUGUAUAGCUAAUGUGCCCCAUGGAGGGGGAUAACAGUUGGAAACGGCUGCUAAUACCCCAUACUCCUUCUAUGUUAAUCAUAGUUGGGAAAGUUUUUCGCCAUGGGAUCAGGCUAUAUGGUAUCAGUUAGUUGGUGAGGUAAUGGCUCACCAAGACAAUGACGCCUAACUGGUCUGAGAGGAUGAUCAGUCACACUGGAACUGAGACACGGUCCAGACUCCUACGGGUGGCUG